rnacentral:rRNA from 1 species
CCUACGGGAGGCAGCAGUGAGGAAUUUUCCGCAAUGGGCGAAAGCCUGACGGAGCAAUACCGCGUGAGGGAUGAAGGAUUUUGGUCUGUAAACCUCUUUUCUCAAGAAAGAAGUUCUGACGGUACUUGAGGAAUAAGCAUCGGCUAACUCCGUGCCAGCAGCCGCGGUAAUACGGGGGAUGCAAGCGUUAUCCGGAAUGAUUGGGCGUAAAGCGCCUGUAGGUUGUUUAUUAAGUCCGUUGUUAAAGCCUAGGGCUUAACCCUAGAAAAGCAAUGGAAACUAGUAGACUAGAGUAUGGCAGGGGUAGAGGGAAUUUCUAGCGUAGCGGUGAAAUGCGUAGAUAUUAGAAAGAACACCGGUGGCGAAAGCGCUCUACUGGACCAUUACUGACACUCAGAGGCGAAAGCUAGGGUAGCAAAAGGGAUUAGAUACCCCUGUAGUCCUAGCCGUAAACGAUGGAUACUAGAUGUUGUGCAUUAUGUACAGUAUCGUAGCUAACGCGUUAAGUAUCCCGCCUGGGGAGUACGCUCGCAAGGGUGAAACUCAAAGAAUUGACGGCUGAAGCNCGACGACGACACGAGGAGGUAG